AGAAGCAUCAAUUUGCAAGAAAGAUGCGAACUUUACUAGAAAUGAACCAGUUUCUGUGUUGGAUACAAGAAGUCCAAGUCCUUCAGCUUCAUCUUCGUCGUGCUCUUAUGGUGCUCAACAUGGUGGAAAUACUGCAGUUCCCGGUGUCGGAAGUGGGAAAACUGAUGGCAGGAAGGAGGAGUUAGUGACGGAGCUGGAGCCAUUCACGGUAGGGUUGGAGCCUGAAAAAUCUGUUCUUGGAUUUGGAGAUUUGGAUAAUUUGUUGCCUGAAUUUGCCGGCUCCGACCAAAGCUUUCUCAGGUGGAUUUCCGGUGAUGUGGAGGACCCGUCAGUCAGCUUGAAGCAAUUACUCAAUGGGGAUUUGGGUUGUGGAGUUUCUCUUCAAAGCUCUGGAUUUGAGGUUUCAGCUACAGGUUCUUUAGCUCAUUCAGAUAAUGUCUCUUUUUCUGGUUCAAAUAUCUGUCUGAAUGCCAACAUUGAAAAACUUAGUUCUGUCAUAGAUUCAAUAAAUAGUCGAAACAAUAACUUCGAAAACCCGAAUGUCAACCCUUCUCUAGAACAGAAGCCUCAACCUUUUGGUCCACAAGUAAUGGCAAACCAAACUCAAUUCCAGAAUGCGGCUUGUGUUAACAUUUUUGGGUCAUCAUCAUAUGACAUCAAUCAAGAACAGCCUCCGCCCAAACGCCACAAUUCGGGUACCCUUGGAGGAGCUCUAUUGCCUAAAGUUCCUUUUUUUGAUGCCAAUUGUGACUUCAUG
rnacentral:misc_RNA from 1 species